UACGGAGGGGGCUAGCGUUGUUCGGAAUUACUGGGCGUAAAGCGCGCGCAGGCGGUUCUUUAAGUCUGAUGUGAAAGCCCACGGCUCAACCGUGGAGGGUCAUUGGAAACUGGAGAACUUGAGUACAGAAGAGGAAAGCGGAAUUCCACGUGUAGCGGUGAAAUGCGUAGAGAUGUGGAGGAACACCAGUGGCGAAGGCGGGUCUCUGGGGCCGAUGACUGACGCUGAGGAGCGAAAGCGUGGGGAGCGAACAGG
rnacentral:rRNA from 1 species